UACGUAGGGUGCAAGCGUUGUCCGGAAUUAUUGGGCGUAAAGAGCUCGUAGGCGGUUUGUCGCGUCGGCUGUGAAAACUCGGGGCUCAACCCCGAGCCUGCAGUCGAUACGGGCAGACUAGAGUGCGUGUAGGGGAGACUGGAAUUCCUGGUGUAGCGGUGAAAUGCGCAGAUAUCAGGAGGAACACCGGUGGCGAAGGCGGGUCUCUGGGCAGUAACUGACGCUGAGGAGCGAAAGCGUGGGGAGCGAACAGGAUAGAUACCGAG
rnacentral:rRNA from 1 species